CGAUGUAGGAAGUUCCCUUCUAGGCGAAGCUCUGCCAUGUGGGCAAAGAAGAGAGAAGGCCUCCUGAGCCUGUUUGAGCCUGUCCUUUCGGCCCACUCAUAGCACCUUUGAAAAUGAGCUACAAAAUAUGAGCUGUGUCACCUCACAUGCCAGGUGCCCAGGCUGACCACAGAGGUUCUCCUGCCUUGCCUGGCAGGCUGGCAGGUAUGUGCAGCUCAUAUCCAGGUUCACCCAGGAUCAUGCU